rnacentral:lncRNA from 1 species
GCGGCAGUAGGGACAGCAGGAGCAGUGGUGCUGUCAGCGCGGCCGUCGGAGACAUGGGAGACCCGGGGUCGGAAAUAAUAGAAUCUGUCCCUCCAGCUGGCCCUGAGGCAUCUGAGUCAACAACGGAUGAAAAUGAAGACGACAUUCAGUUUGUCAGUGAAGGACCAUCGAGACCUGUUCUUGAAUACAUCGAUCUGGUCUGUGGUGAUGAUGAAAACCCUAGCGCCUAUUAUAGUGAUGUAAGCACAUUAUAUUUGUGUUUGUUCAGUUUUCUUAUUAAGUGCAAUAGUGUGUUGGUGGUAGCUUGAACUGGAUCAUAAGAACUAAUUGUUGGCCAGGCACGGUGGCUCUCGCUUGUAAUCCCAGCACUUUGGGAGGCCGAGGCGGUUGGAUCACUUGAGGCCAGGAGUUCGAGACCAGCCUGGCCAGCAAGGUGAAACCCCCAUCUCUACUAAAAAUACAAAAAAUUAGCCGGGCUUGGUGGCACAUGCCUGUAAUCCCAGCUACUUGGGAGGCUGAGGCAGGAGAAUCACUUGAACCUGGGAGGUGAAGGUUGCAGUGAGCCGAGAUCAUGCCAUUGUGCUCUACCCUGGGCAACAGAGCAAGACUCCUUCUCAAAAAAAAAAAAAAAAAUCUAAUCGUUAAACUUUCAGGAAUUUUGUGAGCUGAUUGUAAACAUAACAGUUAUUACAAAUUAAAGUAUAUAAAUGCACAAGUACAUAAAUGAUCAUAUUUAAUACAUCAUUUCCUACUUAAUACAUCAUUUCCUACUAUCUGUGCACUUGAGGUUAUUUGCAUCUAUUGGUAGAAAUACUAUUAAUACAUAAUAGUGUCCUGCUGCAGUAUUGAUAGAACAUUACCCCAUUGUAAUCAGUAAAAUACAAACUAGAAUUUGAUUUAUUAUUUGUUGAUUAAACUUAAGAAAGUGAAGGAUAGAAUGUUAAUGCAGAUUAAAUUUCAAAGUGUGAUGUGUCUCUGCUAGACUAAAUGC